rnacentral:rRNA from 1 species
CCACCACUAAGCCAGUGGUGAACUCCACAUCCGCAUCCUUUGCUGAGGAUACGGUUAACGGAGCGAAAGCGACGUUCAACCGCAAAACAAGCAGAGGGGGCUUAGUGGUGGGGUGACUGCGUACCUUUUGUAUAAUGGGUCAGCGACUUAUAUUCUGUAGCAAGGUUAACCGAAUAGGGGAGCCGGAGGGAAACCGAGUCUUAAUUGGGCGUUAAGUUGCAGGGUAUAGACCCGAAACCCGGUGAUCUAGCCAUGGGCAGGUUGAAGGUUGGGUAACACUAACUGGAGGACCGAACCGACUAAUGUUGAAAAAUUAGCGGAUGACCUGUGGCUGGGGGUGAAAGGCCAAUCAAACCGGGAGAUAGCUGGUUCUCCCCGAAAGCUAUUUAGGUAGCGCCUCGUGAAUUCAUCUCCGGGGGUAGAGCACUGUUUCGGCUAGGGGGCCAUCCCGGCUUACCAACCCGAUGCAAACUGCGAAUACCGGAGAAUGUUAUCACGGGAGACACACGGCGGGUGCUAACGUCCGUCGUGAAGAGGGAAACAACCCAGACCGCCAGCUAAGGUCCCAAAGUCAUGGUUAAGUGGGAAACGAUGUGGGAAGGCCCAGACAGCCAGGAUGUUGGCUUAGAAGCAGCCAUCAUUUAAAGAAAGCGUAAUAGCUCACUGGUCGAGUCGGCCUGCGCGGAAGAUGUAACGGGGCUAAACCAUGCACCGAAGCUGCGGCAGCGAACGUAUCACCCAAGACAACUUUACGGAGUUGACGAUUGACGGAGCGAAGCGACGUCAAAGCGUUCAUUAAAGUCGAGUUGGCUUAGGGAUACGUUCGUUGGGUAGGGGAGCGUUCUGUAAGCCUGUGAAGGUGUGUCGUGAGGCAUGCUGGAGGUAUCAGAAGUGCGAAUGCUGACAUAAGUAACGAUAAAGCGGGUGAAAAGCCCGCUCGCCGGAAGACCAAGGGUUCCUGUCCAACGUUAAUCGGGGCAGGGUGAGUCGACCCCUAAGGCGAGGCCGAAAGGCGUAGUCGAUGGGAAACGGGUUAAUAUUCCCGUACUUGGUGUUACUGCGAAGGGGGGACGGAGAAGGCUAUGUUGGCCGGGCGACGGUUGUCCCGGUUUAAGCGUGUAGGUGUGUGUUCCAGGUAAAUCCGGUUCACUUUAACACUGAGGCGUGACGACGAGGCACUACGGUGCUGAAGCAACAAAUGCCCUGCUUCCAGGAAAAGCCUCUAAGCAUCAGGUAACAUCAAAUCGUACCCCAAACCGACACAGGUGGUCAGGUAGAGAAUACCAAGGCGCUUGAGAGAACUCGGGUGAAGGAACUAGGCAAAAUGGUGCCGUAACUUCGGGAGAAGGCACGCUGACACGUAGGUGAAGUGAUUUACUCAUGGAGCUGAAGUCAGUCGAAGAUACCAGCUGGCUGCAACUGUUUAUUAAAAACACAGCACUGUGCAAACACGAAAGUGGACGUAUACGGUGUGACGCCUGCCCGGUGCCGGAAGGUUAAUUGAUGGGGUCAGCGCAAGCGAAGCUCCUGAUCGAAGCCCCGGUAAACGGCGGCCGUAACUAUAACGGUCCUAAGGUAGCGAAAUUCCUUGUCGGGUAAGUUCCGACCUGCACGAAUGGCGUAAUGAUGGCCAGGCUGUCUCCACCCGAGACUCAGUGAAAUUGAACUCGCUGUGAAGAUGCAGUGUACCCGCGGCAAGACGGAAAGACCCCGUGAACCUUUACUAUAGCUUGACACUGAACAUUGAGCCUUGAUGUGUAGGAUAGGUGGGAGGCUUUGAAGUGUGGACGCCAGUCUGCAUGGAGCCGACCUUGAAAUACCACCCUUUAAUGUUUGAUGUUCUAACGUGGACCCGUAAUCCGGGUUGCGGACAGUGUCUGGUGGGUAGUUUGACUGGGGCGGUCUCCUCCUAAAGAGUAACGGAGGAGCACGAAGGUUGGCUAAUCCUGGUCGGACAUCAGGAGGUUAGUGCAAUGGCAUAAGCCAGCUUGACUGCGAGCGUGACGGCGCGAGCAGGUGCGAAAGCAGGUCAUAGUGAUCCGGUGGUUCUGAAUGGAAGGGCCAUCGCUCAACGGAUAAAAGGUACUCCGGGGAUAACAGGCUGAUACCGCCCAAGAGUUCAUAUCGACGGCGGUGUUUGGCACCUCGAUGUCGGCUCAUCACAUCCUGGGGCUGAAGUAGGUCCCAAGGGUAUGGCUGUUCGCCAUUUAAAGUGGUACGCGAGCUGGGUUUAGAACGUCGUGAGACAGUUCGGUCCCUAUCUGCCGUGGGCGCUGGAGAACUGAGGGGGGCUGCUCCUAGUACGAGAGGACCGGAGUGGACGCAUCACUGGUGUUCGGGUUGUCAUGCCAAUGGCACUGCCCGGUAGCUAAAUGCGGAAGAGAUAAGUGCUGAAAGCAUCUAAGCACGAAACUUGCCCCGA